CCUACGGGCGGCAGCAGUGGGGAAUAUUGCACAAUGGGGGAAACCCUGAUGCAGCAACGCCGCGUGAGUGAAGAAGGAUUUCGGUAUGUAAAGCUCUAUCAGCAGGGAAGAAAAAAGACGGUACCUGACUACGAAGCCCCGGCUAACGACGUGCCAGCAGCCCCGGUACUACGUAGGGGGCAAGCGUUAUCCGGAUUUACUGGGUGUAAAGGGAGGGUAGACGGCAUAGCAAGUCUGAAGUGAAAGCCCGUGGCUCAACCGCGGAACUGCUUUGGAAACUGUUAAGCUGGAGUAAGGGAGAGGCAAGCGGAAUUCCUAGUGUAGCGGUGAAAUGCGUAGAUAUUAGGAGGAACACCAGUGGCGAAGGCGGCUUGCUGGACAGAGACUGACGUUGAGGCUCGAAAGCGUGGGGAGCAAACAGGAUUAGAUACCCGUGUAGUC
rnacentral:rRNA from 1 species